rnacentral:rRNA from 1 species
AUUGAACGCUGGCGGCAGGCUUAACACAUGCAAGUCGAACGGUAACAUAAAGAAGCUUGCUUCUUUGAUGACGAGUGGCGGACGGGUGAGUAAUGCUUGGGAAUCUAGCUUAUGGAGGGGGAUAACUACGGGAAACUGUAGCUAAUACCGCGUAGUAUCGGAAGAUGAAAGUGUGGGACCUUCGGGCCACAUGCCAUAGGAUGAGCCCAAGUGGGAUUAGGUAGUUGGUGAGGUAAAGGCUCACCAAGCCGACGAUCUCUAGCUGGUCUGAGAGGAUGACCAGCCACACUGGGACUGAGACACGGCCCAGACUCCUACGGGAGGCAGCAGUGGGGAAUAUUGCGCAAUGGGGGCAACCCUGACGCAGCCAUGCCGCGUGAAUGAAGAAGGCCUUCGGGUUGUAAAGUUCUUUCGGUAGCGAGGAAGGCAUUUAGUUUAAUAAACUAGGUGAUUGACGUUAACUACAGAAGAAGCACCGGCUAACUCCGUGCCAGCAGCCGCGGUAAUACGGAGGGUGCGAGCGUUAAUCGGAAUAACUGGGCGUAAAGGGCACGCAGGCGGUGACUUAAGUGAGGUGUGAAAGCCCCGGGCUUAACCUGGGAAUUGCAUUUCAUACUGGGUCGCUAGAGUACUUUAGGGAGGGGUAGAAUUCCACGUGUAGCGGUGAAAUGCGUAGAGAUGUGGAGGAAUACCGAAGGCGAAGGCAGCCCCNUUGGGAAUGUACUGACGCUCAUGNNNNNAAGCGUGGGGAGCAAACNAGG